UACGGAGGGGGCAAGCGUUAUUCGGAAUUAUUGGGCGUAAAGGGCGCGUAGGCGGCUAGAUGUGUCAAAGGUGAAAUCCCUCGGCUCAACUGAGGAACUGCCUUUGAAACUGUCUGGCUUGAGGCCGGGAGAGGGUAGCGGAAUUCCCAGUGUAGCGGUGAAAUGCGUAGAUAUUGGGAGGGACACCAGUGGCGAAGGCGGCUACCUGGACCGGUUCUGACGCUGAGGCGCGAAAGCGUGGGGAGCAAACAGG
rnacentral:rRNA from 1 species